ACAUAGCUUCAACUCAUUAUGCAUCGAUAUAUAAAAGCUUAUUUCUGUUAAGUCACCUCUAUAGUUAUCUUUAUGGGGGUUAGUUCUCGAUAGUUACUAUUAAUUUAUUUAUUUGAAAGAAGAGAGCGCAAUGGCGAUGAAGACAUCACAUGCUCCUCUGUUUCGUCUUCUUUUUUUGCUAUUAUCUGUGGUUGGUCUUGUAGGAGCUUCAGGUCAUUCAGGUCCGUACAUACACACACCACCAUCAGGAUCAUGCAGAGGUGGCAUUGCCAAACAAGAUUCAUCAGAAGUAUUAGCGAGGAGAUCUCCACCAUGUAGACGUCCUCGCCUCCAAAACCCAUAAUACACUAGCCACGCUACAGUCCCUUGAACUGUCUUUAAUAAUGAUUUAUAAAUUGUUUAAGUGAUAUAUGGAGUGGGGUGACUUCAAUUAUAUAUUUUGUUUUAGAAAUAUUUAUCCUAUAAGGGCAUUUUCAACCCACAAUUUCAUUUUAGUGUGAAAAUCAUACCAUUUUAGUGUAAUUUUAGCAAUAAAUAUUUUUUCCUUCUCCAA